AUUGAACGCUGGCGGUAGGCCUAACACAUGCAAGUCGAGCGAGUGGCGGACGGGUGAGGAAUACAUCGGCAUCUACUCUGUCGUGGGGGACAACGUCGGGAAACUUACGCUAAUAGCGCAUACGGUUGACUGAGCCGUUGUCGGAUUAGCUAGUUGGCGGGGUAAAGGCCCCCCAAGGCGACGAUCCGUAGCUGGUCUGAGAGGAUGAUCAGCCACACUGGAACUGAGACACGGGCCAGACUCCUACGGGAGGCAGCAGUGGGGAAUAUUGGACAAUGGGCGCAAGCCUGAUCCAGCCAUACCGCGUGGGUGAAGAAGGCCUUCGGGUUGUAAAGCCCUUUUGUUGGGAAAGCGGUACCCAAAGAAUAAGCACCGGCUAACUUCGUGCCAGCCGCCGCGGUAAUAC
rnacentral:rRNA from 1 species